GUGCUUGCUUCGGCAAUACAUUUACUAAAAUAGGAACUAUACAGAGAAGAUUAGCAUGGCCCCUGCACAAGGAUGACACACAAAUUCCUGAAGCAUUCCAUAUUUUU
ensembl:snRNA U6 U6 spliceosomal RNA